UAUGUGAUCGUCUCUCGCAUAUCAAUAAGCGGAGGAAAAGAAACUAACAAGGAUUCCCCUAGUAACGGCGAGUGAAGCGGGAAGAGCUCAAAUUUGAAAUCUUAAAGGGUUUCCCUUUACGAAUUGUAGUUUAAAGAAGUGUUUUCUGUUGAGGUUUUGGUAAAAGUUCUUUGGAAUAGGACAUCAUAGAGGGUGAGAAUCCCGUAUUUGACCUUUACUUUCAACUUUGUGAUACACUUUCAAAGAGUCGGAUUGUUUGGGAAUGCAGUCCAAAAUGGGUGGUAAAUUUCAUCUAAAGCUAAAUAUUGGCGAGAGACCGAUAGCGAACAAGUACCGUGAGGGAAGGAUGAAAAGAACUUUGAAAAGAGAGUUAAACAGUACGUGAAAUUGUCAAAAGGGAAGCGUUUGACACCAGUGUUGUUUUUCUGAAAAUCAAUUAAAGAACUGUUUAUGCUAAGUUGUUUAGACUUUAUCAGCUAACUGUUUAGUUUUGAGCUUUUCUUUAAUGCACUUUUCAGUUAACAAGUCAACAUCAAUUUCUUUUGCUGUAAGAAAGCUUGAGGAAGGUGGCUUGAGAUUCGUCUUAAGUGUUUAUAGCCUCUUGCCUAUGCAGUCGGAGAGAUUGAGGUCUGCAGCGUAGAUCCUUCGGGGCUAAAUGCAUUUGUGCUAAGUUAUAACAUUUUAUAGACAACUUGUUGACUAUGAUUUGUCUUGUAGCUUACUCGCUUAUGUUAUUUUACCUACGCUUAGGAUGUUGACACACGCGCGUGCUCG
rnacentral:rRNA from 1 species